rnacentral:rRNA from 1 species
AUUGAACGCUGGCGGCAGGCCUAACACAUGCAAGUCGAACGGUAACAGGAAGAAGCUUGCUUCUUUGCUGACGAGUGGCGGACGGGUGAGUAAUGUCUGGGAAACUGCCUGAUGGAGGGGGAUAACUACUGGAAACGGUAGCUAAUACCGCAUAAUGUCGCAAGACCAAAGAGGGGGACCUUCGGGCCCCUUGCCAUCGGAUGUGCCCAGAUGGGAUUAGCUAGUAGGUGGGGUAACGGCUCACCUAGGCGACGAUCCCUAGCUGGUCUGAGAGGAUGACCAGCCACACUGGAACUGAGACACGGUCCAGACUCCUACGGGAGGCAGCAGUGGGGAAUAUUGCACAAUGGGCGCAAGCCUGAUGCAGCUAUGCCGCGUGUAUGAAGAAGACCUUCGGGUUGUAAAGUACUUUCAGCGGGGAGGAAGGGAGUAAAGUUAAUACCUUUGCUCAUUGACGUUACCCGCAGAAGAAGCACCGGCUAACUCCGUG